AGUGAACGCUGGCGGUAGGCCUAACACAUGCAAGUCGAACGGCAGCACAGUAAGAGCUUGCUCUUACGGGUGGCGAGUGGCGGACGGGUGAGGCAUACAUCGGAAUCUACUUUUUCGUGGGGGAUAACGUAGGGAAACUUACGCUAAUACCGCAUACGACCUACGGGUGAAAGCAGGGGAUCUUCGGACCUUGCGCGAUUGAAUGAGCCGAUGUCGGAUUAGCUAGUUGGCGGGGUAAAGGCCCACCAAGGCGACGAUCCGUAGCUGGUCUGAGAGGAUGAUCGGCCACACUGGAACUGAGACACGGUCCAGACUCCUACGGGAGGCAGCAGUGGGGAAUAUUGGACAAUGGGCGCAAGCCUGAUCCAGCCAUACCGCGUGAGUGAAGAAGGCCUUCGGGUUGUAAAGCCCUGUUGUUGGGAAAGAAAAGCAGCAGGUUAAUACCCCGCUGUUCUGACGGUACCCAAAGAAUAAGCACCGGCUAACUUCGUG
rnacentral:rRNA from 1 species